GUAAGACUCAGAUCGACGUCCGGUCUCUAAUCGACGUCCGUUCCUCAAAUCGACGUCCAAAUGUGACGUCACAAUAAAAUAACAUUCCAAAUCGACGGCUAAUUUUAUGCCUGUCUAGACGUCCAUUUUUUUGGCAUUUUCUAAUCGACGUCCGAUUUUGAGCUUCUAUAAUCAACGUCCGUUUUGGACACAGAAUACAAAACUAAACUGAACCG
rnacentral:lncRNA from 1 species